ACGUCUAAGCAGUAAGGCUGAGUAUUAGGCAAAUCCGGUACUCGUUAAGGCUGAGCUGUGAUGGGGAGAAGACAUUGAGUCUUCGAGUCGUUGAUUUCACACUGCCGAGAAAAGCCUCUAGAUAGAAAAUAGGUGCCCGUACCGCAAACCGACACAGGUAGUCAAGAUGAGAAUUCUAAGGUGAGCGAGCGAACUCUCGUUAAGGAACUCGGCAAAAUGACCCCGUAACUUCGGGAGAAGGGGUGCUCUUUAGGGUUAACGCCCAGAAGAGCCGCAGUGAAUAGGCCCAAGCGACUGUUUAUCAAAAACACAGGUCUCUGCUAAACCGUAAGGUGAUGUAUAGGGGCUGACGCCUGCCCGGUGCUGGAAGGUUAAGAGGAGUGGUUAGCUUCUGCGAAGCUACGAAUCGAAGCCCCAGUAAACGGCGGCCGUAACUAUAACGGUCCUAAGGUAGCGAAAUUCCUUGUCGGGUAAGUUCCGACCCGCACGAAAGGCGUAACGAUUUGGGCACUGUCUCAACGAGAGACUCGGUGAAAUCAUAGUACCUGUGAAGAUGCAGGUUACCCGCGACAGGACGGAAAGACCCCGUGGAGCUUUACUGUAGCCUGAUAUUGAAAUUCGGCACAGCUUGUACAGGAUAGGUAGGAGCCUUUGAAACGUGAGCGCUAGCUUACGUGGAGGCGCUGGUGGGAUACUACCCUAGCUGUGUUGG
rnacentral:rRNA from 1 species